UACGUAGGGACCAAGCGUUGUUCGGAUUUACUGGGCGUAAAGGGCGCGUAGGCGGCUUUGUAAGUCGGGGGUGAAAGCCUGUGGCUCAACCACAGAAUUGCCUUCGAUACUGCAUGGCUUGAGACCGGAAGAGGUUAGUGGAACUGCGAGUGUAGAGGUGAAAUUCGUAGAUAUUCGCAAGAACACCAGUGGCGAAGGCGGCUGACUGGUCCGGUUCUGACGCUGAGGCGCGAAAGCGUGGGGAGCAAACAGG
rnacentral:rRNA from 1 species